GACGUAGGAGGCGAGCGUUGUCCGGAUUCAUUGGGCGUAAAGAGCACGCAGGCGGUUUGGCAAGUCGGAUGUGAAAACCCGAAGCUCAACUUCGGGCCUGCAUCCGAAACUGCCCGACUAGAGGUAGGUAGGGGAGAUCGGAAUUCCUGGUGUAGCGGUGAAAUGCGCAGAUAUCAGGAGGAACACCGGUGGCGAAGGCGGAUCUCUGGGCCUUACCUGACGCUGAGGCGCGAAAGCUAGGGGAGCGAACAGG
rnacentral:rRNA from 1 species